GUCUGUAAUGGCCUAUAUAUGUACUCGACUGUACUGACUUUUACUCGACCAGUCUGAAUUGGUCUGACUUUUACUUGACAUUACUCGACCCCAGUCUGAAACAUACUCGACUGUACUGAAUCGUACUUGACCCUUAUCUUUGCCGUUGACAAUAGUCUGAACUAUUACUCGACCAGUCUGAAACAGUCUUAACCCAUUCUUGAUCUGUACUCGACCUAUUUUUC
rnacentral:lncRNA from 1 species